rnacentral:rRNA from 1 species
CGCAAGCAGUAAGACCCCUUAGAGAGUAUGAGGUUAGAUAGGCACAAGGUGUAAGCACGGUAACGUGUUCAGCUGAUGUGUACUAAUAGGUCGAGGGCUUAUCCAA